CCUACGGGAGGCAGCAGUGGGGGAUAUUGCACAAUGGGGGAAACCCUGAUGCAGCGACGCCGCGUGUAGGAAGACGGUCCUCUGGAUUGUAAACUACUGUCCUCAGGGACGAAGAUGACGGUACCUGGGGAGGAAGCUCCGGCUAACUACGUGCCAGCAGCCGCGGUAAUACGUAGGGAGCGAGCGUUGUCCGGAAUUACUGGGUGUAAAGGGAGCGUAGGCGGGGAUGCAAGUUGGGGGUUAAAUCUACGGGCUCAACUGGUAGUCGCACUCAAAACUGCAGCUCUUGAGUGAAGUAGAGGCAGGCGGAAUGCCCGGUGUAGCGGGGAAAUGCGUAGAUAUCACGCAGAACCCCAGUGGCGAAGGCGGCCUGCCGUGCCUUCACUGACGCUGAGGCUCGAAAGUGCGGGGAGCGAACAGGAUUAGAUACCCUAGUAGUC
rnacentral:rRNA from 1 species